AGGAUGAACGCUGGCGGCGUGCUUAACACAUGCAAGUCGAACGAUGAUCUCCAGCUUGCUGGGGGGGAUUAGUGGCGAACGGGUGAGUAACACGUGAGUAACCUGCCCUUGACUCUGGGAUAAGCCUGGGAAACUGGGUCUAAUACUGGAUAUGACCUAUCACCGCAUGGUGUGUGGGUGGAAAGUUUUGGUGGUUUUGGAUGGACUCGCGGCCUAUCAGCUUGUUGGUGGGGUAAUGGCCUACCAAGGCGACGACGGGUAGCCGGCCUGAGAGGGUGGACGGCCACACUGGGACUGAGACACGGCCCAGACCUCCUACGGGAGGCAGCAGGUGGGGAAUAUUGACACAAGUGGGACGAAAGCCUGAUGCAGCGACGCCGCGGUGGGGGAUGGAAGGCCGUUCGGUUCGUAACCGUCUUUACGAGGUAGGAAGAAGCGUAAGUGACGGUACUGACGAGAAGAGCGCCGGACUAACUACG
rnacentral:rRNA from 1 species